rnacentral:lncRNA from 1 species
AUGAAGUUGAUUUUCCAUUUCAGUUUCCCUUGUUUUCUUGAGUUUGUGCACUUAUAUUGGAAGGUCCUGUCUAUGCUGUUAUGGCCCACAUGCAACACUGGCAAGACUAAAGACAAAUAUUUUUCAUAUGGACUCAGGUUGGGACACAGCUGAUUGACUGUGCUCAGGCAACCAGGAAAUCUGCUGGUUAGUGCUGGUGUGCCUUAGUGACAGGGAAUGGAAGAGAAGGGCUGCCCUAUGGUCUUACAUGCUGGAAAUACAUGGUAAUGUUUGUGAGUUACUAACUGGGAAGGUAUGUGCUGCUCUUCCAGGAAGAUUGAGCUAGAGAUCUACUGUAGUUAUUUCUGGUGAUCACAUGAGUUUGCUGGUUUCUUUGCAAUACAUUAUUAUUUAAGAACAUUAAAAGAU